rnacentral:rRNA from 1 species
UACGAAGGGGGCUAGCGUUGUUCGGAAUUAUUGGGCGUAAAGGGCGCGUAGGCGGUGCGGUAAGUCUUUUGUGAAAUCUCCGGGCUCAACUCGGAGUCUGCAGGAGAAACUGCCGUGCUGGAGUAUGGGAGAGGUGAGUGGAAUUCCCAGUGUAGCGGUGAAAUGCGUAGAUAUUGGGAGGAACACCAGUGGCGAAGGCGGCUCGCUGGACCGGUUCUGACGCUGAGGCGCGAAAGCGUGGGGAGCAAACGGG